CAAGUACUCCCUCAGUCCCUAAUUAACCGACUCAGAUUUGUCUAGAUACAGAUGUACCUAGACAAUAAAACAUGCCUAGAUACAUCCAUAUCUAGACAAAUCCGAAUCAGUUAAUUUAGGACCGAAGGAGUAAUAA
rfam:Triticum urartu cultivar G1812 contig127757, whole genome shotgun sequence.